rnacentral:rRNA from 1 species
ACGACGAAUACGAUGACGUCAAGAAGUUACACGCGUCGAUGUCGUUGUACGCCACGACAUCGAAACCGACGCCCUCAUCCCAAGAUCGAGAUAUGGGAGCGACGAAGAGAGUGAAACCGCUCGGUGUCGGUUGCCCCGAAUACACGUCAGUCAGUGACAUGUAGCACUUGAAGCUCGAAUGCGAUGGGAUCAGUGUCGAUCCUGUCAGCAUUCUGAGCGGAUCCAAGUCGAACUUGACGAGCGCACGUGUCAGUUCGAUCAGGUCGUUGCUGCCGCUCGUGUUGACACCAUAGAGCUUGAACAGGUCGAGUGUGCCUGCUGCUCCAGUGUUAGCACGUGUGCGACGGGUGCCACGUACGAUUUUGUCGGUCAGAUACGCGUCUUUAGUGGCUCUGAGCGGGCUGGCAAGGCGCAU